CCCCUAGAUGUUCUGGGCCGCACGCGCGCUACACUGAACAGUUCAACAAGUCUUAACCUUGGCCGAUAGGUCGGGGUAAUCUUUGAACGCUGUUCGUGAUUGGGAUAGACCUUUGCAAUUAUGGGUCUUCAACGAGGAAUUCCUAGUAAACGCAAGUCAUCAGCUUGCAUUGAUUACGUCCCUGCCCUUUGUACACACCGCCCGUCGCACCUACCGAUUGAAUGGUCCGGUGAAAUCUCGGGACGGCGGCUUGGUCGCUUGCGUCCGACUGCUGAAACUUGAUUAAACCAUAUCAUUUAGAGGAAGGUGAAGUCGUANCA
rnacentral:rRNA from 1 species